UCUAAAAAACCAGAUAAGAGAUAAUAGCCAGAGAGAAAGAGAAGAGAUGACAAAGACUGGGAACAGGCAGAGCAUGAAUGGAACUAUCAAUAGACACAUUUGUUCAGAGUUACAAAGAGAAACACACACAUAUAAUAUACAUACAUACAUAGAUAAAGACAUGAUACAUCAUCUCAUCUAUUGUGGCUACGCUCAUGCACUGCCUCUUCCCUGGCUCUCUCUUUCUUUUUCCUUCUUUAUUUAUCUUUUCCUUGUGGAAUAAUUACUGCAAUAAUCUACUUCAUUUAUAUAUAUAUAUAUAUAUAUAUAUAUAUAUAUAUAUAUAAAAUUUAUUUUUAAUAUAUAUUUUAUAUUUUAUUAUAUAUUUUAUAUAAAUGACAUUUUUUUAUACAAUAACAUUGUUGUAUAUAGCCAAUAAGUUAUAACUCAAAUGGUAUAAUUUUUCCAAACAUUGUUGUAUAUAAAAUUAUAAAUUCUAAAGAUAAAAAUAUCUAUUUUUAAUUAUAAUUGCAAAAAAACAUUAAAAUUCAAUAUUAUUUUCUUUUGAAAAUAAAUAUCUUUAUUUAGUUAUUUUUAUUCUAUUUACAUUUUUAAACAUUAUUAACUUUUGCUAAAUCACCAUUUUUUUUUACGCUCUAACUCCUUAUCUAGGGAAACUAUGCACAGGUGUGUCUCCCUCAAAAUGCAGUUCUUUUUUGAAUAAUUUAUUUUGUUGUUGCAAGAGAGAGCUAAAACCUAAAAGCUCAUACCCCGUAUUUACCAUCCAUGAACAAAUCUACUUUCUGUUAUUUGCCGACUUUUUUUUUUAACAAUAAAAUAAAAGAGAGUUCCUGUGACAGAAAAAAAUUAGGAUGAGUUCAUACCAGUGCUGUUUCUGUCGCAAUCCUCCCUCAGGCUGACGAGAACAAGGCCAAAGCACUUAAAGUACUGUGUGCAAAGCUAUUUGAAAUGGAAGGGGUCCGAGCUCAUAGUACACGAUCAAAACUUCGGUCAGAACAGAUUGGCAGCGGUGAUAGAUCUGAACGCAUCCGGACGUACAACUUUCCUCAAGGCCGUGUCACUGAUCAUAGAGUUGGUAUAACUUAUCACUCAAUAGAUGAUGUGAUGCAAGGUGAGAAUCUUGAGGUAUUUAUCUCUCGCCUCUCUUAUUGCAAGAAGAAAUGGAUGCAAUUGCAACUUUUAGUUCUUCUCAGUAACACCAACUGAUGGAACCAGGCGUUACUAAUUAGUGACUAUUAGUUCGGGGACUCAUUUUUGUACUUCCCAUGCUGAAAAAGAAAGGUUCUUGUAUUUUGAAUAAGAUAUGCUAGAUUUAGAGAGGGGAAAAAAUUUUUUCUGAUAGCAUAGUAUCAAAUGAUGUGCGUAUGGUUAUUUGAUAAUAUAAUUACACGAUAUAUUUGUUCACCUGUGUUUCCCAUUUCAGAUUAUAACCUUUUAUUUUUCAACUUUGCUUUUGCACUAAUAAAACUCUUGCCUUUCAAAAGAGCAGAGUAUACUUUCCCUUUCACAAAAUCCUGUGAGACAAAAUCCAAUAAAGGAAAAAGAGCAUAGUAUGACAUAAAUUAAGAAUAUGCAAAAAAUUAAAUCAUUUUGCUAAUAUGAAAAUGUUUUUAAAUAAUUAAAUCAUUUGGUGUCUAGUCACCAAAAAAAAUCAUUUGGUGUCCAAUCUUAGAACGUUAAAGCGUUUUUAAAUUCAUAACCACGACAAGUCACUUACUUACUUUUCUUGCAAGACAUAACGUUGAACUAUGAAAGAUCAAUGAUAAAUUGAUAACGAUAAUUAAAAAGUGAUAAAUAGCUUUAGGUUUGCCUUCUCUGCUCUACCAUGGUACAAGUAUAUUAUGUUAGAAAAAUAUUACACAUCUUUUUUUUUAUUUCAUACAUCAAAUUAACAUAAGAUAAAUGUUAGGAGACUAAUAUUUUUAAUGGUAAAACAUGAAGAAUUGGUUAGUAUUAGCUCAAAUGUAAGAUAAAUAUAAUAAAAAAGAUUGAUCUAUUAACAUUUUUCCUAAUACAAAUCUGUUUACUUAUUAAAUUGAAUGAGAGACUUGUCUUAUAUAUUAUUCAUUAGUUUAUGCUAGUUAUUAGCCCUUUUUUUCCUCUUUUCUGUUUGGCUGCUUCACAAGAAACCGAAACUUUCAGAUUUCUUUUGAAGCAGAAGCACUCAUGUUGUUCCUAAAUGUUCCUUUGUUACUAGUUGCAUGUUUGUAUUUGUGUUCAAUCCAUACACUGCAAAGUUUCUUACAUAAAUUCACCAAUUAAAUGAUGUAGUCGUGUACUAGUUCACAAAAUCACAAUUCUACUCUGAUUAUGGUCUCUUUAUAUGAUGUGAUGAUGAUGAUUCACAUAGUGCAGUUUCCCUUUAGAAAUAUACAAGAAAUGAGAAAAAUCCACUCCAACAUACUUGUUUCCUUCCAAUUCAAUGUGAUCCUGAAAUGCUUAUUGAAAUGCGGUUAGUAUCUGUGUCCUGUUGAUAAUGCAAUGUGUAAAUGGCAACCUUCAUGUUUAUGGAACUUGUGUUACAUAUUAUAAAAUAUAUAAAGAAUAAACACCCAACCAACCCGGCCCCUGUCUAUAGAACAAGAUAUUCCAUCAAUUUUAUACAUUUUGUUUUUGUAUGAUCUGAUUUCUGUGCUUUCCUCAGAUUCUUCUAUGUUCUUAUCGCUUUAUUUUUGCUAGUUCUAUGGAAUAUCUUGUUGCUUGUUUUCUUAUUUUAACUUGAUUUAUAUUUGGCUAAUUUAAUUGAAUAUUAUAUGCUGAUUGUUAUACAGUAAUAGUGUAAUGAGCUAUGUUAGAUUUGUUUAUUUCAUCAUCUUGUUUAAUUAAUAAAUUCUUGGAUUGUUCUUGAAUGAUCGAAUUGUCUUUGUUAUU